rnacentral:rRNA from 1 species
UACGGUGGGGGCAAGCGUUGUUCGGAAUUACUGGGCGUAAAGGGCUCGUAGGUGGCCAACUAAGUCAGACGUGAAAUCCCUCGGCUUAACCGGGGAACUGCGUCUGAUACUGGAUGGCUUGAGUUUGGGAGAGGGACGCGGAAUUCCAGGUGUAGCGGUGAAAUGCGUAGAUAUCUGGAGGAACACCGGUGGCGAAGGCGGCGUCCUGGACCAACACUGACACUGAUGAGCGAAAGCCAGGGGAGCAAACGGG